rnacentral:rRNA from 1 species
UACGUAGGGCGCAAGCGUUAUCCGGAAUUAUUGGGCGUAAAGAGCUCGUAGGCGGUUUGUCGCGUCUGCCGUGAAAGUCCGGGGCUCAACUCCGGAUCUGCGGUGGGUACGGGCAGACUAGAGUGAUGUAGGGGAGACUGGAAUUCCUGGUGUAGCGGUGAAAUGCGCAGAUAUCAGGAGGAACACCGAUGGCGAAGGCAGGUCUCUGGGCAUUAACUGACGCUGAGGAGCGGAAAGCAUGGGGGAGCGAACAGG